rnacentral:rRNA from 1 species
GAUGAACGCUGGCGGCGUGCCUAAUACAUGCAAGUCGAGCGAACAGAUGAGGAGCUUGCUCCUCUGACGUUAGCGGCGGACGGGUGAGUAACACGUGGAUAACCUACCUAUAAGACUGGGAUAACUUCGGGAAACCGGAGCUAAUACCGGAUAAUAUAUUGAACCGCAUGGUUCAAUAGUGAAAGACGGUUUUGCUGUCACUUAUAGAUGGAUCCGCGCCGCAUUAGCUAGUGGGUAAGGUAACGGCUUACCAAGGCAACGAUGCGUAGCCGACCUGAGAGGGUGAUCGGCCACACUGGAACUGAGACACGGUCCAGACUCCUACGGGAGGCAGCAGUAGGGAAUCUUCCGCAAUGGGCGAAAGCUUGACGGAGCAACGCCGCGUGAGUGAUGAAGGUCUUCGGAUCGUAAAACUCUGUUAUUAGGGAAGAACAAAUGUGUAAGUAACUAUGCACGUCUUGACGGUACCUAAUCAGAAAGCCACGGCUAACUACGUG